CCGAGUUUACAACUCCCAAACCCCUGUGAACAUACCUAUACGUUGCCUCGGCGGAUCAGCCCGCGCCCCGUAAAAAGGGACGGCCCGCCCGAGGACCCCUAAACUCUGUUUUUGGUGGAACUUCUGAGUAAAACAAACAAAUAAAUCA
rnacentral:misc_RNA from 1 species